UUCCCAGGCUUGUACACACGCCGUCACAUCAUGAAAGCCGUUUGUACCCGAAGUCGCCCCUCAAAAGGUGCCGAAGGUAUGGAUGGUGAUUGGGAGUG
rnacentral:rRNA from 1 species